CAAGAAAUCGAAAUCACAGCUCCCACUCCACCAAAACUCUCAAAACCAGAUGUCUGUAAAAACCCUCUCCCACUCCAAGAAAUACAGAUUUCUUGAAAACCCUCUAAAUCUCCUCAUCUUCCUCCUCCCACCGUUUUACCGUCUCCAUCCGCCCAUUUUCAGUCUCUCACCUCCAUUUUCGCUUCUUUUCUUACCAAAAAAUACAAAGGAAACAAAAGCCCUCAAAACAAACGCACAUCAGAGAGAAGGGGACCGACAGAAAGGGUUUGGAUUUGGUUUUGGUUUACGACUCCGAAGUCAAUAUAUCUUCCUUGACCAAUAUGAAGGGUUUCUGCAGCCUCGAUGAAGGAGAGACGGUGGGAGUGCGCGGAACUCGGUGGGGGUUUGGACCCUUGAAGCAUCAGAUAGCGUAUAGCCUUGUCUUCUAUUUUUUUUCAGAUUACAAGAACGGAUUUCUAGAGAUGCAAUGGGAGAUAAGCUUAAGAGAAUACGAACGCCAAAAAGAAAAUCCAAAAAAAAAGAACAAAAAGAAAAAGAAAA